UAAUUUGUAGAGGAUGAUUUGGGGAAGCCGCCUGUCUAAGUUCCUUGGAACAGGACGUCAUAGAGGGUGAGAAUCCCGUAUGUGACAGGAAAUGGCACCCUAUGUAAAUCUCCUUCGACGAGUCGAGUUGUUUGGGAAUGCAGCUCUAAAUGGGAGGUAAAUUUCUUCUAAAGCUAAAUAUUGGCGAGAGACCGAUAGCGCACAAGUAGAGUGAUCGAAAGAUGAAAAGCACUUUGGAAAGAGAGUUAAAAAGCACGUGAAAUUGUUGAAAGGGAAGCGCUUGCAAUCAGACUUGUUUAAACUGUUCGGCCGGUCUUCUGACCGGUUUACUCAGUUUGGACAGGCCAGCAUCAGUUUCGGCGGCCGGAUAAAGGCUCUGGGAAUGUGGCCUCCACUUCGGUGGAGGUGUUAUAGCCCAGGGUGUAAU
rnacentral:rRNA from 1 species